CACAUCGGUGACUGUCUCUGGCCAGAUUAUUUUAUGAGGUCUCACAUUUACCCAAAUCUUUUCUCUUUUUUUUUUAUUUGCAAAAACAAGCACUCCUUCAUGCUGCUAAUUCUGAUUACCAAAGUUUCAUAAUCAUCGUUUGCUCAUAAAAUUCACAGAGCCUCAUCCAUGUCCAUAAAAGCAUGAUCUGAGUUUUUUUAUUGUUGCAGGCCUCAAUUGUCAUUUUAGAAAUUCACAUCCCUCACUCCUUAACUGUUUACCUACAUCAUUUUGUAUUUGGCUUUUCAUUUUUCUGUCAUUUAACAAUUUCAGUGUUAGCUGCUUCUUGCUUUUCAAUUUUUUAUUCUCUUUUAGCCAUCCUGAUUUAACUCCUGUUUUUAAUUUUCAAUUGUUUAACCUGCAUCUAUGUAGAAAAGUUAAGUUUGCAAUGGAUCAAUGUAAAUAAAUGAGAAAGCUGAAGUUUGUUGAUUUAGUUCUCUAUUUCUCCCUCAUCUUUAUUCUUAUAUUCUUCCAUAUGUAGGUGGUGAAAAAGAUCGUUAUGGGGAAAAAGAUUGGAGCAUGUAUUUAGUAGAAAGUCUAAAUUAAGGGUAUGUGUUUAUCUAAUAUCUAUACUUGCAGUUUUUGUGCAUCAGAUUCAUUAUGUAAUGAAUGAGCUAGUUAUACUGGUUGAGAGAUAGUUAGUGCAAUGUACUAAUGAAGAGUUAGCUAAUGAAAAUAAUAUUCAUCCACUUUCUCUCAUUUCCUUCUAUGUUAGGUUAACAGUGUGUGCUACUUCACUUUCUGUAACUAGAACUUUGGAAAGUUAAAUUAGUUAUGACCUAAUUAUAUGAGCUAUUUCUGAAUGGAAAAUGUGCUAGGUAUGACUUUUUAAUUGAUUCCAAACAUAACUGGUUUUUUUUUUUUAAAAAAAAAAAAAGACUUUUCACAUCGGUUUUGGAAUAAACCGAUGUGAAAUGUGUAGUUUUCACAUCGGGUAUUUGAUUCCACCGAUGUGAAAUACACGUACAGAUUUAAAAAAGAAAUUACUAAACAGACUUUUCACAUCGGUUGCGGCAUAAACCGAUGUGAAAUGUGUAGUUUUCACAUCGGGUAUUUGAUUCCACCGAUGUGAAAUACACGUGCAGAUUUGAAAAAGAAAUUACUAAACAUACUUUUAACAUCGGUUGCGGCAU
rnacentral:lncRNA from 1 species